GAAAUCAAGGGAGUCCAAUGUAAAAGGAACAGGAAGUUGCAAUCAAGAGGGCAGAGUGUGAGGAAAGUUCUCCAUGCCUGGGAAAGACCCUGUUUAAGCAGGGGAAAGACUACAAAGGCCCUAGACAGGAAGGUCUUGGAGGAGGAAGAGAAACCUGGCGUUGUGGAGACUUAUGAAUGGAUGUUCUUCUAGGUUCUCCACUGUGACCUUGUAUCAUCAUAUCUGCCUUCCGGAGAACAGUGUUACACCAAGAGAAACAGCCCCGAGGAGACCCACCAAAAGGAUGUUGUGUAGUCAGCAGUCUCUUCUCAUCAUCCGCCGCCCCAAAGGACAGUGGAUCUCUCCAUCAGCUGCCCAGAAGGUGGGAGAGGAUCUUCUCCCAAAAUGAAAAAUAUUACAUGCUCCCUGUCAGUCUCAGGGUUCUGGUACAGAGGCAGUUUGGAGUCUGCUUUUCUCUGGUCUUUAGUAGUAGUUUUUGAAGAUGACAGUGAAUCAAAAGCAGGUCAGUGGGCCAGCCGCUUGUAUUUCCUUGGUAAACCAUAAACAGCCGGAGGGCUAUGGGUGGUACUCUUGGAGAAUUCCUGUAGCCUGCCAACUUUCCUUUCUUGCAACACGUAACAACUCCUCUGGUCUCCCACCAAGUCAGAUGCCAGCUGUUGCAUAGGGGCAGAAAUAUUUCUGUAUUAUUUUACCUGCGUCUUCACUUUGGCAAUCAGGUUUCCCUUCUAUUCUAAUUGCUCUCUCACGGGAGUAACCCAGCACUGAAAUGAUGUUCCUCAAACUCUGAGGAGACUGUCCAUUCUACCUGUUGAUUGCUGACUUCAAGCAUUUUCGAUGAAGUCCCUAUAAUACUUGAAGGUCCCAAUCCUGCAAAUGCCUGAAUGCCUCCUGUGAACCGCUGAUAUCCCUCCACACCCACAGGCUGCAAUGGAAAGGAGCAGGUGCUAUGACAUUUAUAAGGUCUAUACAAAAUAACCCUAAUGAGGUGGUGGUGCAACAUCUGCAGGGCUCGUGAGCUGUGCUUUAAUUCAGUCGCCCAGCAUCACAAUCUCUGUGAUAUGGCAGUAUCCUGCACCCCUUCUAAAGACAAUCCUUGGCUAUCAGUUUAUGAAUAGGAUCCAAGCACCAGCUUGGGGAUUAAUGUUCUAAUUAUGACACAUCACCAGCCAGAAGAAACAAUGCCUCUGGGAUCCUGCGUAUUAAUCAUCCAUGGCUGCCAGUCAAAAUGAGAAACCUUCCCUGAGGGGUGCUGACAGCUGCUAAUGAGAUAAGGAAAUACUGUGCAAGCACAGCCAUUAACACUGCCAGCCGGAAAGCAGGGGAUCCACGGCUUUGGCAGAUGGAUCUCAGCCUCUGACAUUCCUCUGCUAGAUGAGCAUCCGGGAAUACACAAGAGCCCCAUUCAGGCAGGAAAUGGGAUCUACUGCCAACGAUUUCCUGAUGUGCUGAUUGCUGCAGGCGUGGAAGGAAGGCUUUGGUUAAGCAGUGCACUGCUAAACAGUUCCCACUUGCUCCAGCUCAGAAUGACUGUAGCAGUCUAGGGCUUGGGAAGACUUUGAUGGGGCUGGCAGGAGAGGCAACGAAGGCUGAGGAGUCCAGAGGAGAGCUUUAAGGGUUAUGCUUUCUAUUCCUCUCUGAACGUAGACAUGCCUAGAUUGGGCUUCUCACAGUAAAUAUUUUCAAGAAGCGAACUCUGUCUAUCUGUCCAUCCUGGACUCAUCACCCAAGUCAUACCAGUCUACAUACAAGUCACCCAAGAAGGCAUCCAUGUAUUCUGGUAGCUCAAGAGGAGAAAGAAAUGAAGAAACAGAAAAAUACGAGGGAGAGGAAAAGGAGAAGAAAGCAAUGACAGUAAAUAUAAAAAGACAGAAGAGGACAAGACAUUUGUGGAG